UUUAAAAAGGGCCUACUUCCAAAAAUUCAUUUGAAAAAAAAUCUGGUUAGAUUUCAUGGUAAUCUCUCCAGGGACACAAUAAUAAAUGCAGAGAGGUGUUCAUAAAGAGCAAUAUCAGAUGGCACCCCAAAAAAGGAUAUGAAAGAACACCAAAAGGGAACUCUAAAGAUUUAGUUGGAAAAGUAGAUGCAGAGAGGUGUUCAUAAAGAGCAAUAUCAGAUGGCACCCCAAAAAAGGAUAUGAAAGAACACCAAAAGGGAACUCUAAAGAUUUAGUUGGAAAAGUAGCACUAUUCACAAUAGCAAAGACUUGGAACCAACCCAAAUGUCCAACAAUGAUAGACUGAAUUAAGAAGAUGUGGCACAUAUACACCAUGGAAUACUAUGCAGCCAUAAAAAAGGAUGAGUUAACGUCCUUUGCAGAGACAUGGAUGAAGCUGGAAACCAUCAUUCUGAGCAAACUAUCACAAGGACAGAAAACCAAACACCACAUGAUCUCACUCAUAAGUGGGAACUGAACAAUGAGAACACUUGGUCAUAGGGUGGGGAACAUCACACACUGGGGCCUGUCAUGCGGUGGGGGGCAGAGGGAGGAAUAACACUGGGAGAGAUACCUAAUGUAAAUGACGGGUUGAUGGAUGCAAUGGGCCAGCAUGGCACAUGUAACGAGCCUAUGUAACGAGCCUGCACGUUGUGCACAUGCACCCUAGAACUUAAAGUAUAAUAAUAAAAAUUAAAAAAACAA